rnacentral:rRNA from 1 species
UACGAAGGGGGCGAGCGUUGUUCGGAAUCACUGGGCGUAAAGGGCGCGUAGGCGGCCCUCUUAGUCGCGUGUGAAAGCCCCGGGCUCAACCUGGGAACGGCGCGCGAAACGGGAGGGCUGGAGUUCGGGAGAGGAGAGUGGAAUUCCCAGUGUAGAGGUGAAAUUCGUAGAUAUUGGGAAGAACACCGGUGGCGAAGGCGGCGUUCUGGACUGCAACUGACACUGAGAAACGAAAGCCAGGGUAGCAAACGGG